UGCUAAUGGUCAUCACAAGGGAACUCUGAUUGGAAGCAGAGAAAUGGUUAAGGAUGAAGCCCUCCGGCAGGGAGAUGGGAAAAGCUUAGAAGAAGCAUUCUGGGUAAUUCUGGAGUUUGAAACAGGUAAGACACUAUGCAGAAGGUGAGAAUUUCAAUCAAUCCCUUUUCUCCAAUCUCCUCCCUGCUGUUUUGUGGUAACAUAAUUCAGGAUUUUAUUAUAUGAGUUUGCAGAUGCCUAGAGGAAGGAAAAGUACUUCAUACUUUUUACUGGAAUAAAUUAACUUGAGCUUUCUUAGCUGUCACCAUUUUAUGGAUACCACAUAAGGGUAUGAGUAAUAUUGUAAUAAUGGCACAGUUGGAGAAGGUGGUGAGAAGUGUGAUGGUGACAAUAUAAUGUAUACUUUGAAAAUGCUUCUGCUGUAAGGAGGAAAAACUUGCUUUUUUACCCCCAUAAAAGCAUCUGACACCUUCAGACAGGUCUGGCUGGGUUUUUGUUUUUUUUUGUUUUUUCUUUAUUUUUAAGUUGUCAAACGCAAGAGUGCCAAUAAUUCUUCCUGAUGCCUCAUAGUGGCAAUUAGUCAUAAUCAUGUGCCAAGUGUCAGCAAGCAUUAUUAAUGAACAGAGAGAAAUUGCUUUCUGCUUGGUGUGUCUCUAAAGCAGAUUGUAAAUAAUGACAACAAAUUUCUUUCAUUUUCUCCCCAACUUGAAUUUCAUGGAGUAACUUUUCAUGAAUUCACGCAGCUUCCAACAAUGGAACAGAAUAGAAAUGACACUGUAUUCCAAUGACAAACUGCAAAGCAUUUGAAGACCUACAGGACUUUAUCUCCUGGGAUAUUGAACUGACAUCUGACACCUGACUGUACUGAGCUCUGUGUCCCUGGGAUCGCCGCAGAAGGGCUGUUGGCUAUUUGUCUUUUCUGCACUGGCAGCAAUGCAUAGAAUUAGAGGCCAAACUUGAGACUCAUGUAUACAAAUCCUUAU